AUUUACUGCGCGCCUCCAGAAGCAUUUCUGCGCGCGUGGGUCUAUUGCACCCCUUGCUCGAGAGGCUUGUGAGAAAGAUUAAAAGCCACGUUUAGAAGUGAUCUGACCGCGAAAAUCCAUUAAAAUCUCAGCUUGGCCUUCGAUGACUGCAUGAUGGCAUCAACGGACGGCCACGAAAACAGCUGAGCAACUCCACCAACAGCUAUUUUGAAGCAGAAAAAUUAUGAAGUGAGAAGAAAAAGAAGUUGAGCCGGCUGCUCUUGUGCUGGGAAAGAAGAAAAUGCAGAGCGAUGAAUUACGAGGACCGCCUUUCAGCAGUCGGGGCCGAAUUGUAACAGAAGAGCCCCUGCCUGCCCUGUUCGGAUGUUUGCGCAGCAACUGACGCCUUUUGUGUGCUCUCGCGAUAAUUAUUUUCAUGAGUCAGUCGGUUGAAUUGGCUGCUGCCAUUCAGCCUUUAUGAUGUAAAAUUCGGCAUGGUCGGUGUUGUAGCUCUUUAAUUGAGACACUACAUUUUCCACGCCAUGAAUUUCCUCCUCGGGACAGCUGAAAUGUCGUCGGUUGUCACUUUCCCUUUUCCCCUUGAUAUGCCGACGAGCAUGAAUUCGCUCUCAAAAGAGCAUAAAAAAAAUUGAUUUGUGUACUCACCAAGUCGUUCCAGACAAUCCUUUGAGUGACGAGUUUCUCUCGGCAUACCUCUGUAAAUUACACCGAGAGACAAAAAAUUAGAAAAUUAUUCACUUUUAUAGCUUUAGCUGCUGCUGCUGCUAAUAAAUUCCUAUGAAUAUACAUGUGUGUAGCUAUAAAGACUGCUUUAUUGGAGAUUAAGGCUGCACAAAAGACAAUUUCAGAGCUCCAUAAUGGUACAAAUUAACGAUUAAGUUAAUUUUUUAUGCCGUCCUAAAGGUGUCAUUUUUAUUAUUCAUGAGGGUAAAAUACGAGCGUAAAAAAUUUGAAAUUAAUAGGCUUAGGAAGUUCUCUAUCUAAAUUAUCAGAGAAACUUCUUGCACGGUUUGGAUUAUUAAAUUUAGGAACAUCAAAUUUAUGACUUAAUCAUUUAAAUAAUAUGCACUUUAGAAACCAAGGAAAAUUGAGAAUGUUAAGGAUCAUUUUUAUAAAAUGAUGAGGGCUCAAUAUAAUAGACUGGACAGAG